CGCUGGCGGCGUGCCUAACACAUGCAAGUCGAGCGAGGAGAUCCUCGGGAUGAUCCUAGCGGCGGACGGGUGAGUAACACGUGGGCAACCUGCCUCAUAGAGAGGAAUAGCCUUCCGAAAGGGAGAUUAAUACCUCAUAACAUUGCAGUUUCGCAUGGAACAGCAAUUAAAGGAGUAAUCCGCUAUGAGAUGGGCCCGCGGCGCAUUAGCUAGUUGGUGAGGUAACGGCUCACCAAGGCGACGAUGCGUAGCCGACCUGAGAGGGUGAUCGGCCACAUUGGGACUGAGACACGGCCCAGACUCCUACGGGAGGCAGCAGGUGGGGAAUAUUGCACAAUGGGGGAAACCCUGAUGCAAGCAACGCCGCGUGAGUGAUGACGGCCUUCGGGUUGUAAAGCUCUGUCUUCAGGGACGAUAAUGACGGUACCUGAGGAGGAAGCCACGGCUAACUACGUGCCAGCCGCAGC
rnacentral:rRNA from 1 species